CCUACGGGAGGCAGCAGUGGGGGAUAUUGCACAAUGGGGGGAACCCUGAUGCAGCGACGCCGCGUGGGUGAAGAAGCGCCUCGGCGCUUAAAGCCCUGUCAGCAGGGAAGAAAAUGACGGUACCUGAAGCAGAAGCCCCGGCUAACUACGUGCCAGCAGCCUCGGUAAUACGUAGGGGACAAGCGUGAUCCGGAUUUACUGGGUGUAAGGGGGGCGCAGACGGCGAUGCAAGCCAGGAGUGAAAGCCCGGGGCCCAACCGGGGGACUGCUCUUGAAACUGCGUGGCUGGAGUGCAGGAGGGGAAGGCGGAAGUCCUGGUGUAGCGGUGAAAUGCGUAGAUAUCAGGAGGAACACCGGUGGCGAAGGCGGCCUGCUGGACUGCAACUGACGUUGAGGCCCGAAAGCGUGGGGAGCAAACAGGAUGAGAUACCCUUGUAGUC
rnacentral:rRNA from 1 species